CGGCUCUUCGCUGGGGAGUAGCCGGCUUUUCCGCACCGGAAAAGCGCUCAUGUCAACACGCUCGGUCGGUCAGACCGUGGCAUGGGCAGCCAUCACAGGUUGGCAAGACCAUCGACAGAAUUCGCGACCGGUCGGGCGCGCGUUCUGUCGUUCCAUCUUGCCCGACCAGAG
rnacentral:sRNA from 1 species